rnacentral:rRNA from 1 species
GACGAACGCUGGCGGCGUGCCUAAUACAUGCAAGUCGAGCGGAAGUUGAAGAGCUUGCUCUUCAACUUUAGCGGCGGACGGGUGAGUAACACGUGGGCAACCUGCCCUGCAGAUCGGGAUAACUCCGGGAAACCGGUGCUAAUACCGAAUAGUUUUCGUCACCUCCUGGUGGCGUACGGAAAGACGGUUUAGGCUGUCACUGCAGGAUGGGCCCGGGGGGCAUUAGCUAGUGGGUGGGGUAACGGCCCACUAAGGCGACGAUGCGUAGCCGACCUGAGAGGGUGAGCGGCCACACUGGGACGGAGACACGGCCCAGAGGCCUACGGGAGGCAGCAGUAGGGAAUCUUCCACAAUGGACGAAAGUCUGAUGGAGCAACGCCGCGUGAGGGAUGAAGGUUUUCGGAUCGUAAAACUCUGUUGUAAGGGAAGAACACGUACGGGAGGGAAUGCUCGUACCUUGACGGUACCUUACGAGAAAGCCACGGCUAACUACGUGCCAGCCGCCGCGGUAACA